rnacentral:rRNA from 1 species
UCCGGCAACGAGCGCAACCCACAUCUGUAGCCUCCAGCAGUUCGGCCGGGCACUAUAGAGAAACUGCCCGUGAUCAGCGGGCGGAAGGUUUGGCUGACGUCAAUUCCUCACCGCCCUUACGGGUUGGGCUACACACGUGCUACAUUGGCAUCAACAAUGGGUUAAUCCAUAAAAGUUGUCUCAGUUCGGAUUGGGGUCUGCAACUCGACCCCAUGAAGUCGGAAUCGCUAGUAAUCGCGUAACAGCAUGGCGCGGUGAAUACGCU